AUUGAACGCUGGCGGCAGGCCUAACACAUGCAAGUCGAGCGGAUGAAGGGAGCUUGCUCCUGGAUUCAGCGGCGGACGGGUGAGUAAUGCCUAGGAAUCUGCCUGGUAGUGGGGGAUAACGUCCGGAAACGGGCGCUAAUACCGCAUACGUCCUGAGGGAGAAAGUGGGGGAUCUUCGGACCUCACGCUAUCAGAUGAGCCUAGGUCGGAUUAGCUAGUUGGUGGGGUAAAGGCCUACCAAGGCGACGAUUCGUAACUGGUCUGAGAGGAUGAUCAGUCACACUGGAACUGAGACACGGUCCAGACUCCUACGGGAGGCAGCAGUGGGGAAUAUUGGACAAUGGGCGAAAGCCUGAUCCAGCCAUGCCGCGUGUGUGAAGAAGGUCUGCGGAUUGUAAAGCACUUUAAGUUGGGAGGAAGGGCAGUAAGUUAAUACCUUGCUGUUUUGACGUUACCAACAGAAUAAGCACCGGCUAACUUCGU
rnacentral:rRNA from 1 species